rnacentral:rRNA from 1 species
ACGAACGCUGGCGGCAGGCUUAACACAUGCAAGUCGAACGGUUGUAGCAAUACAGCAGUGGCAGACGGGUGAGUAACACGUGGGAACCUUCCUAGGGGUACGGAACAACUCAGGGAAACUUGAGCUAAUACCGUAUACGUCCGUGAGGAGAAAGAUUUAUCGCCUUUAGACGGGCCCGCGUCGGAUUAGCUAGUUGGUGGGGUAACGGCCUACCAAGGCGACGAUCCGUAGCUGAUCUUAGAGGAUGAUCAGCCACACUGGGACUGAGACACGGCCCAGACUCCUACGGGAGGCAGCAGUGGGGAACCUUGGACAAUGGGCGCAAGCCUGAUCCAGCCAUGCCGCGUGAGUGAAGAAGGUCUUCGGAUUGUAAAGCUCUUUUGCCAGGGACGAUAAUGACGGUACCUGGAGAAUAAGCCCCGGCAAACUUCGU